CUUAUGCAAAUAACCCUUAUUAUCGCGGAAGUGAUUCUUAGACCGAGUGAGUUCAACUGAGGAUGCAGGCCACGUGACCUUUGGGGGGCGGGGAGAAGAAUGGGAAUUCGUUUGUGCAGUGCGACGGGAGGGUCCCUGCAAAGGGCUCCCUGCCUACCACCGCCCACCCCCCAACUCCCCACUCUGGGGUAGUAUCUGACCUUCCAAAGGACCCCUUCGCCUCCUUGAACUUCACUGGUUGGCAUUGUGCAAUCCUGGGAGCUGAGAGACUGACGCGGUGUGUGCCACAGAUCUCAGGUUGGGGCAUGGCUGCAGGAGGACCGAGGGGCCUGAAGCACUGGGCUGCCACAAAGUCCUGCUGCUACUCUGCUGUUGUUCCCUAACCCUAACUCUUCACAAAGUCCAAAGGAUUCCCGGACAGCAAGCAACGAGAAAGCUACUGGAAGAUACACUCCACCAAAAAGAGGGAGUUAAACAAGAAAGAAGAAUACAUGGAUAAUGAAAACAGGAGAUUCAACAUAAAAGAGAAGAACGGACUUCGCAGGAUAAUGUUGAAUGGGGAUCCUAGGAAGAGAGCUGUAUGGCAAGCUCUGAGCAGGCACGGCCUGGGUCUGGUUGGCUGUCUUCUGUACCCUGGCACCCUGGCAAAGCCAGCACCUGGAGG